CUGGCUCAGGAUGAACGCUGGCGGCGUGCCUAAUACAUGCAAGUCGAGCGAGAAUCAGUGAUGUAGAGAUUCGUCAAAGCGGAACUGAGGAAAGCGGCGGACGGGUGAGUAACGCGUAGGCAACCUGCCCUUAGCAGAGGGAUAGCCAUUGGAAACGAUGAUUAAAACCUCAUAAUGCCUCUGAAACACAUGUUUCGGGAGCCAAAGAUUUAUCGGCUAAGGAUGGGCCUGCGUCUGAUUAACUAGUUGGUGAGGUAACGGCCCACCAAGGUGACGAUCAGUAGCCGACCUGAGAGGGUGAUCGGCCACAUUGGAACUGAGACACGGUCCAAACUUCUACGGGAGGCAGCAGUAAGGAAUCUUGCACAAUGGGGGAAACCCUGAUGCCAGCAACGCCGCGUGAACGAUGAAGGCCUUAGGGUUGUAAAGUUCUGAUCUGUGGGAAGAAGAAGUGACGGUACCACAGGAGAAAGCCCCGGCUAAAUACGUGCCAGCAGCUGC
rnacentral:rRNA from 1 species